rnacentral:ncRNA from 1 species
UAAAGGUUUGGUCCUAGCCUUUUUAUUAGUCUUCAGUGAAAUUACACAUGCAAAUAUCCGUACCCCAGUGAAUAUGCCCUCUAAGUCUAAUAGACCAAGAGGAGCAAGCAUCAAGCACACAAACCUGUAGCUAAAAACGCUUUGCUUUGCCACACCCCCACGGGACACAGCAGUGAUAAAAAUUAAGCAAUGAACGAAAGUUUGACUUAGUUACACUGACUACUAAGGGUUGGUAAAUAUCGUGCCAGCCACCGCGGUCAUACGAUAGACCCAAACUAAUAAACCCCGGCGUAAAGCGUGUUUAAGAGCCUUACCCUGAAUAAGAAUAAACUUUACCUAGGCCGUAAAAAGCUAUAGCUAAGGAAAAAAUAACUUACGAAAGUAAUCUUAAUAAGUCUGAUAACACGACAGCUAAGACCCAAACUGGGAUUAGAUACCCCACUAUGCUUAGCCGUAAACCCAAAUAUGUAAACCAACAAACAUAUUCGCCAGAGAACUACUAGCAACAGCUUAAAACUCAAAGGACUUGGCGGUGCUUUAUAUCCGUCUAGAGGAGCCUGUUCUAUAAUCGAUAAACCCCGAUUUACCUCACCAUCUCUUGCUAAGUCAGCCUAUAUACCGCCAUCUUCAGCAAACCCUAAUUAAGGCACUCUAAGUAAGCCAAAACAUACAACAUAAAAACGUUAGGUCAAGGUGUAGCCAAUGAGAUGGGAAGAAAUGGGCUACAUUUUCUUACCCCAAGAAAAUCAACGGAAACUCUUAUGAAAUCGAAGAGGAUAAGGAGGAUUUAGCAGUAAAUUGAACUUAGAAAGCUCAAUUGAACUGAGCAAUGAAGCACGCACACACCGCCCGUCACCCUCCUCAACAUUUUUACUACAAAGCCUACAUAAGCCAAUACCAUAAAAAUUAAGAGGAGAUAAGUCGUAACAAGGUAAGCAUACUGGAAAGUGUGCUUGGAACAUC